rnacentral:rRNA from 1 species
UACAGAGGUCCCAAGCGUUGUUCGGAUUCAUUGGGCGUAAAGGGUGCGUAGGCGGCGCGGUAAGUCGGGUGUGAAAUCUCGGAGCUUAACUCCGAAACUGCAUUCGAUACUGCCGUGCUUGAGGACUGGAGAGGAGACUGGAAUUUACGGUGUAGCGGUGAAAUGCGUAGAUAUCGUAAGGAAGACCAGUGGCGAAGGCGGGUCUCUGGACAGUUCCUGACGCUGAGGCACGAAGGUCAGGGGAGCAAACGGGG